UUUAGUGCGACCUUUGGGAGUCCGAAACAACGCAUAAACUUUUGCUCGUUAGGAUAGACAACGACCCACUUACCUUAUGUGGAGAUGCUUCAAUACGAUGCGACAUCAUUCACUUCCGCAUUGCUUUCUUGCUCCAUUGCUCACCUGCUUUGUUGUUUCUUUCUCUGAAGAGACAUUCUGUGGAGCAGUAAGUACACAGCAACUGAAAAUCAUGUUGAGGGGCCUGCUCAAGGGACAAGAAAGCUGAGCAAGCAUGUGGUAAGGGAGGAAUUUCAUUGAAGCAUCUCUUGAUUUAAAUUCCUGCUAUACUGUCAUGUCUGAUUUCAUAAGACUGUCUAUAGAGAUUUUACCAUAUGGAAUUCUAGAAAGUUGGAUAGAAAAAUUCAUCUGCUAAUUUUGAUGAAUGAAUGGUUCUUUCCCUGAAAACCUUUUGAUACUUGAUGAACCUAAAUCCAUAGCAGGUCUUUUUCUUUUUCU